CACUUUGACUUGAAUCUGCGGCAGUUUGGACCCUACAGACUAAACUACUCUCGAACUGGAAGACACCUGGCUUUUGGAGGGCGCCGAGGUCAUGUGGCUGCCCUUGAUUGGGUAACAAAGAAGCUUAUGUGCGAGAUCAACGUCAUGGAGGCGGUGCGGGACAUCCGGUCAGUGGCCUGUCAGUGGUCAGUUGGGGUGAGAUAGUCCAUUCCCGAUUGAAUGAUAGCCUGUGACCUCAUUUCCCAAUUGAACCACUCUUCCUCUCCCCCAGGUUUCUCCAUUCUGAGGCACUGCUUGCUGUUGCUCAGAACCGCUGGCUCCACAUCUAUGACAAUCAGGGCAUUGAGCUCCACUGUAUCCGCCGCUGUGACCGAGUAACACGGCUUGAGUUCCUGCCCUUCCACUUCCUCCUGGCUACAGCUGUGAGUGGCCAUGGAGCUCAGGAACUGGGUGGAAGCCCUUGGGAUGACCACCUCUCCUUUAGGACCCCAGCAGAGGGAAUACAGAGGGCAAUCAGGACUGGGUCAUUCUCUC
rnacentral:sRNA from 1 species